AUGACACAACUGAGUCUGCUAUGGACAAUCAUGUUCUCUACCUUCUUAGGAAUCAGCACAGCCCAGAAGGUCACUCAACUGCAACCAGCAAUGUCUGGAGUGGAAGGAGAGGCUGUGACUCUCAGCUGCAAGUAUGAGACUAGUGACAGUAAUUAUGCUUUGUUUUGGUACAAACAACCUUCCAGUGGGGAGCUGAUUUUACUAAUUCAUCAGGGAGUUUAUAACCAAAAGAAUGCAAAGAUGGAUCGCUAUUCAGUGAACUUCCAGAAAUCAAACAAAUCCAUCAGUUUCACCAUCUCAGCCUUACAGCUGGGAGACUCAGCAAUAUAUUUCUGUGCUUACAUGAGCCCACAGAGGGUGGAGUGA